GCCUCUGUGGUACAACGGUAACACACUCGGCCUGUAUUCGAGAGGUCCAGGUUCGAGUCCCGGCGAGGGCA
rnacentral:tRNA from 1 species